AUGGUGCCACUCGCGCACUGCGGUUCUGGCCGCGAUGCCCGCAGCCACCUGACAACCGCGCGCUACGUCUUGUUAGCC
rnacentral:sRNA from 1 species